rnacentral:piRNA from 1 species
CGAAUCUGGCUAGACCCUUGGCCCUUUG